UGAGGAAUAUUGGUCAAUGGACGGGAGUCUGAACCAGCCAAGUAGCGUGCAGGAUGACGGCCCUAUGGGUUGUAAACUGCUUUUGUGCGGGGAUAAAGUGUGGGACGUGUCCCAUAUUGCAGGUACCGCAUGAAUAAGGACCGGCUAAUUCCGUGCCAGCAGCCGCGGUAAUACGGAAGGUCCGGGCGUUAUCCGGAUUUAUUGGGUUUAAAGGGUGCGUAGGCGGCUUUGCAAGUCAGCGGUGAAAGGCCCGGGCUCAACCCGGAAAGUGCCGUUGAUACUGUGAGGCUGGGAUGCGGAUGCUGUGGGAGGAAUGAGUGGUGUAGCGGUGAAAUGCAUAGAUAUCACUCAGAACACCGAUUGCGAAGGCAUCUCACAAAUCCGCAAUUGACGCUGAGGCACGAAAGCGUGGGGAUCGAACAGGAUUAGAUACCCUGGUAGU
rnacentral:rRNA from 1 species